GAGCAACGGUUUUCGGGCGGGAAGGCGGCGCGAGGGCGCCUGCGUCCUAGCUGUUGCCAUAGUGACCAGGCACGCAGCCCCCGCCCGGCUUCCAGUUGCAGCGUCCUCAAGGUCUAGGUCGGAGUGUCGGAAGUUUCCAGAGCCCGCACCAGCGGACUUGUGAUUAACUUGCUCACAGAUGUCAAACUACUAAGGCAAAAAAGAAAGUGGAGCAGGUAGGAAACUAUGUGAAAGAAUUCUCUGAUGUCAUAAUUUCUGGGUGUCACUGGCUCAUUCGACCAGCCUUCCUUUGGCACAUUCCAUCCUCCUAUGGAAGGAGAGUAGAAGCAUUUGAUUUAUUUAGCCUCUACAGGAAUCAAACUUCACUUAUUUUG